rnacentral:tRNA from 1 species
GCCGGCUUGGCGGAACUGGCAGUCGCGACGGGUUUAGGUCCCGUUGAUCUUAUGAUCGUGGGGGUUCGAGUCCCCCAGCCGGUA